CAGCAGUGAGGAAUAUUGGUCAAUGGACGAGAGUCUGAACCAGCCAAGUAGCGUGAAGGAAGACUGCCCUAUGGGUUGUAAACUUCUUUUAUAAGGGAAUAAAGUUCACCACGUGUGGUGUUUUGUAUGUACCUUAUGAAUAAGGAUCGGCUAACUCCGUGCCAGCAGCCGCGGUAAUACGGAGGAUCCGAGCGUUAUCCGGAUUUAUUGGGUUUAAAGGGAGCGUAGGCGGCAGGUUAAGUCAGUUGUGAAAGUUUGCGGCUCAACCGUAAAAUUGCAGUUGAUACUGGCCUGCUUGAGUGCGGCAGAGGCAGGCGGAAUUUGUGGUGUAGCGGUGAAAUGCUUAGAUAUCACGAAGAACUCCGAUUGCGAAGGCAGCUUGCUGGAGCGUAACUGACGCUGAUGCUCGAAAGUGCGGGUAUCAAACAGGAUUAGA
rnacentral:rRNA from 1 species